GACGAACGCUGGCGGCGUGCCUAAUACAUGCAAGUAGAACGCUGAAGAGAGGAGCUUGCUCUUCUUGGAUGAGUUGCGAACGGGUGAGUAACGCGUAGGUAACCUGCCUUGUAGCGGGGGAUAACUAUUGGAAACGAUAGCUAAUACCGCAUAACAAUGGAUGACACAUGUCAUUUAUUUGAAAGGGGCAAUUGCUCCACUACAAGAUGGACCUGCGUUGUAUUAGCUAGUAGGUGAGGUAAUGGCUCACCUAGGCGACGAUACAUAGCCGACCUGAGAGGGUGGUCGGCCACACUGGGACUGAGACACGGCACAGACUCCUACGGGAGGCAGCAGUAGGGCAUCUUCGGCAAUGGGGGCAACCCUGACCGAGCAACGCCGCGUGAGUGAAGAAGGUUUUCGGAUCGUAAAGCUCUGUUGUAAGUCAAGAACGGGUGUGAGAGUGGAAAGUUCACACUGUGAAGGUAGCUUACCAGAAAGGGACGGCUAACUACGUG
rnacentral:rRNA from 1 species